CUCUGCCUCCUCCACCACCACUGACAUCAGGAAGUCUGCAGGUGGCCGGACACCCGGCCGGGAGCACUUACUCAGAGCAAGACAUCUUGCGACAGGAACUGAACACUCGUUUUUUGGCCUCUCAGAGUGCUGACCGCGGGGCUUCCCUGGGCCCUCCGCCCUACCUGCGGACCGAGUUCCAUCAGCACCAGCACCAGCACCAGCACACCCACCAGCACACGCACCAGCACACCUUCACGCCGUUCCCCCACGCCAUCCCACCCACCGCCAUCAUGCCGACGCCAGCACCUCCCAUGCUCUUCCAUUCCUAUCCUCCUGCAGUGUCGGGCAUCCCCCCUAUGAUCCCACCCACUGGCCCUUUUGGUUCACUACAAGGAGCAUUUCAGCCGAAGACAUCCAACCCUAUCGAUGUCGCUGCUCGGCCUGGGACAGUCCCACACACUUUACUCCAAAAGGACCCGAGGGUACGUGCAAAGUCAGGCUUGGUCUCAGGUAACACCAGGGUGUGUGUGUUUGCACGGGACGGCCAGCCCAGUGCUCGCAUCUUCCUUAGCUCUUUUGAGCGAGCUGCUGUUUCAGCUGUUCUUCUAGUUUGUGGAAGAAAAUGCCAAUUACUCUUAGAAAACACAGUCUCUCCUGCUCACUGCGAGCAUAGGACACAAAGAGACCGACUUGCCGAUGGGAGAAAAGAGGAAUGAGUUACGGUCUGAGCCCAGAAAUUGGACAGUGUCAGCUUGUAUA
rnacentral:sRNA from 1 species